rnacentral:rRNA from 1 species
UACAGAGGCCUCAAGCGUUGUUCGGAUUCACUGGGCUUAAAGGGUGCGUAGGCGGUUGGGUAAGUCCGUUGUGAAAUCUCACAGCUUAACUGUGAAACUGCAUUGGAUACUAUCCGGCUCGAGGAAUGGAGGGGAGACUGGAAUACUUGGUGUAGCAGUGAAAUGCGUAGAUAUCAAGUGGAACACCAGUGGCGAAGGCGAGUCUCUGGACAUUACCUGACGCUGAGGCACGAAAGCCAGGGGAGCAAACGGG